AAACAUCCGCCCGGGCACUAAAAACGUAAGUUUAAAACCCAAAGGACUUGGCGGCGCUUAACAUCCACCUAGAGGAGCCUGUUCUAUAACCGAUAACCCCCGUUCAACCUCACCCCCUCUGGCCUCAAACCGCCUAUAUACCACCGUCGUCAGCUUACCCUGUAAAGGCCUCACAGUAAACAAAACUAGCACUGCCCAAAACGUCAGGUCGAGGUGUAGCAUAUGAGGGGGAAAGAAAUGGGCUACAUUCGCUAAACCAUAGCGAACACGAAUAACCACGUUGAAAAAGCGUAUCUGAAGGAGGAUUUAGAAGUAAGCAAAAAACAGAGUGUUUUGCUGAAACUCGGCACUAAGGCGCGCACACACC
rnacentral:rRNA from 1 species